rnacentral:sRNA from 1 species
GCUGGGCAUGGUGGCACAUGCUUGUAAUCUCAGCAACUUGAGAGGCUAAGACAGGGGGAUCAAAAGUCCCAGACCAGCCCCAGCAAUUUAGCAGGAUCCUCAGCAACUUAAUGAGACCCUGUCUCAA